AUACUUACUGGCAAGAGAGAUACUACGAUCACGAAGCUCCUUUUCCUAGGGAGAGGCAUAUCCAUUGCACUCCGGAUGUGCUAUUUCCCUGCUAUUUCCUCAAACGUGGGAAACUCAAUGGUAUCAUUUGUGGUAGUAGUGGGGGACAGCGUUUGAGUUCUCCCCUU